GUCGGGUGCAGUGGCGCGUGCCUGUAAUCCAAGCUGCUGGGAGGCUGAGGCUGGUGGAUCGCUUGAGUUCAGGGGUUCUGGACUGCAGUGGACAUGUCGAUCAGGUGUCCACACUAAGUUCAGUUAUCGAUAUGGUGCUCCUGGGGGAGCUUGGGACCACCAGGUCGUCCUAAGGAGGGGUGAACCGACCCAGGUUCGGAGACGGAGCAGGUCCAAAGCCCCCGGUGAUCAGUAGUGGGGUCGCAACCUGUGAAUGAGACACUGGCAUGCCAGCCUGAGCGAUUACAGUGGAGACUCAGUCUUUU
rnacentral:SRP_RNA from 1 species